rnacentral:rRNA from 1 species
UACGUAGGGUGCGAGCGUUAAUCGGAAUUACUGGGCGUAAAGCGUGCGCAGGCGGUUUUGUAAGCCAGAUGUGAAAGCCCCGGGCUUAACCUGGGAAUGGCAUUUGGGACUGCAAGGCUUGAGUGCGGCAGAGGAGACUGGAAUUCCCGGUGUAGCAGUGAAAUGCGUAGAUAUCGGGAGGAAUACCGAUGGCGAAGGCAGGUCUCUGGGCUGACACUGACGCUCAUGCACGAAAGCGUGGGGAGCAAACAGG